GGCACCCAUAUAACCUUAGGGGGAAUGGCAAAAGAUUUUGGAACUAUGUAUUACAUGUACCAUCAUUGAUUUGGCUGGUGGUCUAUCUGGAUAAAACAAGAUAUUUGCCCUACACAGUCCCAAGGACUUGCCAAAUCAAUAGCCUGGGAUGGAGAAGGGGCAACGUGUCUUAUAGAGGUCCGCGUAACUAGAUCAUAAUAUGUAUCACGGAUGCUCAAAAGAAAUGUAUUCUUUAUUUUCUCAAUAUGGAAACCAAGGCGGUUAAAGCUAAUGAUCAAGAAAAUUGGGUUGAAGGGGAGCAGGAUUAUUUUUGAGAUAAAUGUAUGGACCUGGGAUUGGACCUGGACUACUGUGUUGAAGAUGUCGAAGAAAAUGACUCUGGCAUGGCCCAGUACUUCUCUCAUCUCACUAAAGGGUUCAUAAUGUUAGGCGUAUGCUUCCAUUGGAUUUACCAAAGGCAGCUUUCAGCAUGCUAAAUAAGUGUACAAGGGGACCACUAUUGGCAUAGUGUGACGGUUACCAGAUUGGCGAUAACUAUUACGGUCGGUCGAGGGUAAGUGAAAACAAGCAGCCGCUUGCGCUCACUGUGAAGAAGCAAACGUCCAGAUUGGUCAAGGGGCAGGAAAUCUUGGUGAAGGAGCUCUCGAUUUGACUAGGGUUUC